GCGGGGGUAGCAAAGUCUGGUCAAAUGCGCAGGACUUAAGAUCCUGUCUCUUAGUGGGUUCGGGACAGAAAGUGUGAAAAUACUUUUUGCGGAAAAGUUCAAAUCUCCUCCCCCGCA
rnacentral:tRNA from 1 species